rnacentral:rRNA from 1 species
UGCAGUCGAACGGUGAAGCCCAGCUUGCUGGGUGGAUCAGUGGCGAACGGGUGAGUAACACGUGAGCAACCUGCCCUCCACUUCGGGAUAAGCCUUGGAAACGGGGUCUAAUACCGGAUAUGAGCUCGCAUCGCAUGGUGUGGGUUGGAAAGUUUUUCGGUGGGGGAUGGGCUCGCGGCCUAUCAGCUUGUUGGUGGGGUGAUGGCCUACCAAGGCGUCGACGGGUAGCCGGCCUGAGAGGGCGACCGGCCACACUGGGACUGAGACACGGCCCAGACUCCUACGGGAGGCAGCAGUGGGGAAUAUUGCACAAUGGGCGCAAGCCUGAUGCAGCGACGCCGCGUGAGGGAUGACGGCCUUCGGGUUGUAAACCUCUUUCAGCAGGGAAGAAGCGCAAGUGACGGUACCUGCAGAAGAAGCGCCGGCUAACUACGUGCCAGCAGCCGCGGUAAUACGUAGGGCGCAAGCGUUGUCCGGAAUUAUUGGGCGUAAAGAGCUCGUAGGCGGUCUGUCGCGUCUGGUGUGAAAUCCCGAGGCUCAACCUCGGGCUUGCAUCGGGUACGGGCAGACUAGAGUGCGGUAGGGGAGACUGGAAUUCCUGGUGUAGCGGUGGAAUGCGCAGAUAUCAGGAGGAACACCGAUGGCGAAGGCAGGUCUCUGGGCCGCAACUGACGCUGAGGAGCGAAAGCAUGGGGAGCGAACAGGAUUAGAUACCCUGGUAGUCCAUGCCGUAAACGUUGGGCACUAGGUGUGGGGCUCAUUCCACGAGUUCCGUGCCGCAGCUAACGCAUUAAGUGCCCCGCCUGGGGAGUACGGCCGCAAGGCUAAAACUCAAAGGAAUUGACGGGGGUCCGCACAAGCGGCGGAGCAUGCGGAUUAAUUCGAUGCAACGCGAAGAACCUUACCAAGGCUUGACAUGUACGAGAAAGCCCCCGAGACGGGGUUCUCUUUGGACACUCGUACACAGGUGGUGCAUGGUUGUCGUCAGCUCGUGUCGUGAGAUGUUGGGUUAAGUCCCGCAACGAGCGCAACCCUCGUCCUAUGUUGCCAGCGGGUUAUGCCGGGGACUCAUGGGAGACUGCCGGGGUCAACUCGGAGGAAGGUGGGGAUGACGUCAAAUCAUCAUGCCCCUUAUGUCUUGGGCUUCACGCAUGCUACAAUGGCCGGUACAGAGGGCUGCGAUACCGUAAGGUGGAGCGAAUCCCAAAAAGCCGGU